rnacentral:rRNA from 1 species
GACGAACGCUGGCGGCGUGCUUAACACAUGCAAGUCGAACGGAAAGGCCCUGCUUUUGUGGGGUGCUCGAGUGGCGAACGGGUGAGUAACUCGUGAGUAACCUGCCCUUGACUUUGGGAUAACUUCAGGAAACUGGGGCUAAUACCGGAUAGGAGCUCCUGCUGCAUGGUGGGGGUUGGAAAGUUUCGGCGGUUGGGGAUGGACUCGCGGCUUAUCAGCUUGUUGGUGGGGUAGUGGCUUACCAAGGCUUUGACGGUUAGCCGGCCUGAGAGGGUGACCGGCCACAUUGGGACUGAGAUACGGCCCAGACUCCUACGGGAGGCAGCAGUGGGGAAUAUUGCACAAUGGGCGGAAGCCUGAUGCAGCAACGCCGCGUGCGGGAUGACGGCCUUCGGGUUGUAAACCGCUUUCGCCUGUGACGAAGCGUGAGUGACGGUAAUGGGUAAAGAAGCACCGGCUAACUACGUG